CUGAACAUUCAGCUCCUUCCAUCUGUCCGUUUAUUGUACAAGAGCCAGGAUCUGAGCAAUGUACCACUAGACAGAACCCUCAGCUUGGAAACAUUUGGAAGUGGGGUAAGAUAGAAAUGACGUAAAUGCAAUAUUGCGUGCCCUGGACCAACAACCAGAUGUUAUGAUUACCUACACUACCAGAUCCUAAGAACAUCAACAACAAACAAGCUCUGGAUACAUCUUUUGCUGGUCACACAGACUUCAGAUAAGGUUUACCAUGUAUACAUUAGAUAUUGCUCAUGGACAUCUUGUCUUUUUUCUGUGAAAUUCUGGAGUUCCAUCAA